AUUACUACAACAUUCUAUGCGUUAUUAUCAGGACUCGGAAGUUCUAGCAAAUGCAUAUUUUUCUUGGUUCAUCCUAGAACAUCAAAAUAAACAACCGAAAUCCAAGAGUCGAUCCAGAGUGAAACGAACUUACGAUAGACAAACACAUACCUACUUACUCCCACGAAUUCUGGUGGCACGGCGCACUCGAAUUCGAUGGUGGCGGUACUGACAGAGCGAUGAUUAGACAACCACGUGUUACAAUACCGAUCACUGGUCGAUGGUUUUGGCAGACGGCGACGGCGACUUCGUGAUAUCAGUCACAAGUGUGCUACAAGAUCACGGUGGCACAGCUCAUUCAAAUUCGGUGGCGGCGGCACUGAUGGAGCGGAAAAGGCAAAACGUGCACGUACUACUAGUCACGAUGUGUAUCAGCGAUUUUACCUAUUGGCCGAGAGACACUGAUACAACACGGGAAACGGAGAGUGAAAAAACAUAAGUGUGUUUGAAUACUGUAACCUAGUGGCCGAGAGACAU